UACGUAGGGUGCGAGCGUUUAAUCGGAAUUACUGGGCGUAAAGCGUGCGCAGGCGGUUUUGUAAGCCAGAUGUGAAAUCCCCGGGCUUAACCUGGGAAUGGCAUUUGGGACUGCAAGGCUUUGAGUGCGGCAGAGGAGACUAGAAUUCCUGGUGUAGCAGUGAAAUGCGUAGAUAUCAGGAGGAAUACCGAUGGCGAAAGGCAGCCAUCUGGACCGACACUGACGCUGAGGCGCGAAAGCGUGGGGAGCAAACAGG
rnacentral:rRNA from 1 species